GCUUAUCACCAUUCCAGAUUGAAUAUACCCGAUCUCUUCUGAUCUCGGAAGUCAAGCAAUCUCGAGCUUGGUUGGUACUUGGAUGGGUGACCGCUUGGGAAUACCAAGUGUGAUAAGCA
rfam:Ciona savignyi cont_33176, whole genome shotgun sequence.